rnacentral:rRNA from 1 species
GACGAACGCUGGCGGCGUGCCUAAUACAUGCAAGUCGAACGAGAGCGCCCGGUGCUUGCACUGGUCAAUCUAGUGGCGAACGGGUGAGUAACACGUGGGUAACCUGCCCAUCAGAGGGGGAUAACAUUCGGAAACGGAUGCUAAAACCGCAUAGGUCUUCGAACCGCAUGGUUUGAAGAGGAAAAGAGGCGCAAGCUUCUGCUGAUGGAUGGACCCGCGGUGCAUUAGCUAGUUGGUGAGGUAACGGCUCACCAAGGCCGUGAUGCAUAGCCGACCUGAGAGGGUGAUCGGCCACAUUGGGACUGAGACACGGCCCAAACUCCUACGGGAGGCAGCAGUAGGGAAUCUUCCGCAAUGGACGCAAGUCUGACGGAGCAACGCCGCGUGAGUGAAGAAGGUUUUCGGAUCGUAAAACUCUGUUGUUAGAGAAGAAUAAGUGCUAGAGUAACUGUUAGCGCCUUGACGGUAUCUAACCAGAAAGCCACGGCUAACUACGUG